rnacentral:rRNA from 1 species
UACGUAGGGGGCAAGCGUUUGUCCGGAAUCAUUGGGCGUAAAGCGCGCGUAGGCGGCCCGGUAAGUCCGUUGUGAAAGUCAAAGGCUCAACCUUUGAACGCCGAUGGAUACUGCCGGGCUAGAGUCCGGAAGAGGCGAGUGGAAUUCCUGGUGUAGCGGUGGAAUGCGCAGAUAUCAGGAGGAACACCAAUAGCGAAGGCAGCUCGCUGGGACGGUACUGACGCUGGAGGCGCGAAAGCGUGGGGAGCGAACAGG